CGUCACAGAAUAACCCCUUGCCUGACUUAGAACAACUGUCCUGGCUCUGCCUCUGCCCUGCCCCCUGCUGCAAUGCCACAAACGCAGCAACUCUUCUCCGCUGGGGUGCUUGGUUUGCCUCAGUACUAAGUGUGUUUUUAUUGCUCAUCAACAGCAGGAAUAGCUUCCUAUUAGCACUGUCUCGGCUGAAACCAGGACGAUAUCCACCUAUUAUUCUGUACCAUUUGCAUCAUGCUCAGUUUUUUGAAAUAUGAAGAACUUUAAUGUGCUGGAUGCUGACCACUAAAACUAUUGUAAAUAGAAGCAAGUAAAGAAUGAAUAUGUGGCUUUUAAUUAGACAUCAAAUUAGAAGUGAUAGCAAGGACACAGUCAUUUCAAGCAUCUCUUGAGAGAAGAACGCCAAUGAUCAAUACAGUUUUUCCUUUAUGAAGGGAAGCAGUGGAGGAAAAUCUUGGAUGAAGCCUCUCAGUCAACUGAGUUCUGGCAAUUACAAGACAGCCCAAGCACAGAGAAAACAACUGUGGUACACAGAAGACUGCGCAGCCAAACCACCUAUUAGCUGCAUAACAGGCAGCAACAGAGCAGUCUACUUACAGACCAUUAGUGUAUUGCUCUGUGGAAAAGUAUUGCUUCAGAAGAUUAAUUAAAAUGAAAUUUUGUGUAUUUAUGUAGAUAUAUAUAAUAUACAU